AGUAGUUUGAUCAUGGCUCGAGGACGAACGCUGGCGGCACGCUUAACACAUGCAAGUCGAACGGAGAUAGCACGGAGCUUGCUCUGAGCUAUCUUAGUGGCGGACGGGUGAGUAACACGUGAGCAACCUGCCUUUGAGAUUGGGAUAGCUUCUGGAAACGGAUGGUAAUACCGAAUAAUGUUGUGAGACCGCAUGAUUUUACAACCAAAGAUUUAUCGCUCAAAGAUGGGCUCGCGGCUGAUUAGAUAGUUGGUGGGGUAACGGCCUACCAAGUCGACGAUCAGUAGCCGGACUGAGAGGUUGAACGGCCACAUUGGGACUGAGACACGGCCCAGACUCC
rnacentral:rRNA from 1 species